rnacentral:ncRNA from 1 species
CAAAGUUUUGGUCCUAAACUUACUGCUACUUUUAAUCAAAAUUACACAUGCAAGUAUCAGCACACCAGUGAAAAUGCCCUACAGCAUAAAUGGAGCAAGUAUCAGGCACGAAAAUUCAGCCCAAAACACUAAGCUAUGCCACACCCACACGGGCCAUCAGCAGUGAUAAACAUUAAGCAAUAAGCGAACACACACCCCAAGCUUGACUUAGUUAUGAUUAAAUCGGGCCGGUAAACCUCGUGCCAGCCACCGCGGUUAUACGAGGGGCCCAAAGCAGCAGAUACUCGGCGUAAAUCGUGAUUAGAGUCCCUACCAAAAAAUUAAAGACUAAACAACAGCCUAACCGUAAAACACAGGCUUAAUGAAACCAUCACACCUUUAACAAAAGGUAACUUGAACCACGAAAAUUAAGAAACAAACUAGGAUUAGAUACCCUACUAUGCUUAAUCGUUAAUAUGACAUCCCAAUACACAAGAUGUCCGCCAGAAUAUUACGAGCGAAAAGCUUAAAACUCAAAGGACUUGGCGGUGCCCCACACCCGACUUAGAGGAGCCUGUCCUAUAAUCGAUAUUCCACGAUAAACCUCACCAUUCAUUGCCAAAUCAGCCUAUAUACCGCCGUCGUCAACUUACCCCAUGAGGGUAAAACAGUAAGUAUAACAGCUAACUAGCUAAAAAGUCAGGUCAAGGUGUAGCUUAUAGAAUGGAAGAGAUGGGCUACAUUUUUUAAAAUAAAAUAAACGGCAUGGAACCAUGAAAUUAGUUCCUAAAGGAGGAUUUAACAGUAAAAUUAACAAGAAAAUUAAUUUUAAACACGCUCUGGGGCGCGCACACACCGCCCGUCACCCUCUUCACAAAACACUACUUCAAUAUAUAAACAAUAAAAACCAAAAAGAAGAGGCAAGUCGUAACAUGGUAAGCGCACUGGAAAGUGCGCUUGGAAUAA